UACGGAGGGUGCGAGCGUUGUCCGGAAUCACUGGGCGUAAAGGGCGCGUAGGCGGCCUGAUAAGUAGGGGGUGAAAUCUUGCGGCUUAACCGCAAGGCUGCCUUCUAAACUGUCAGGCUAGAGCACAGUAGAGGCAGGUGGAAUUCCCGGUGUAGCGGUGGAAUGCGUAGAGAUCGGGAAGACCACCAGUGGCGAAGGCGGCUUGCCAGAAUGCGCUCGACGGUGAGGGAUGAAAGCUGGGGAGCAAACCGG
rnacentral:rRNA from 1 species